GCCGCGCCAGCUCCUCUGCGGCCUCCCUAUUCAUCGCCCAGCUGGCACGCGCAUGCACGCAUCAGGCGCGUCUUAACCCUCACAAUGGCACCUUAACGAAGUCUCGUGCAGCAGGCCUGCCCAAUGCACGAUGUCCUUUGGCUUCUUGACUGCUGCCCCUGGAGCGUGGGUGAUGGCGUCACGCAUGAUGAAACCCUGGACAACGGAUCGGGCACAUCUGUGACAUCUUGUUUCUCCCAUAGGCCAGUUCAGUGUGUUCUUUAAAUCUGAGCAAAAUCUCUCAACCUAGCUGGCUUUCUAAUAGAGGCUGCCGUGGCCUCAGGAUGACUGGUGGUGCAGUAGUAAAAUGCUCAGCUGCCAAGCAAAAGGCGGCUUGUUCAAACCCAUCAGGAGAAAUAGGUGGCAGUGUUUGAGUUCUCCGGUGGGUCAUACCUCGGUUCUUGGCUUCACACAAGAAAAAAUUCACACUGAAGCCUAGUUUGUGAUCCAUGUGGGUUUUUAUAAAGGAUGGGAAAAGUUUCAGGUUUUACAGUCUCAAAAAAAGUACCCACUAUUUGGGGGAAGCGUGUCAAACCUCACGGAAGCCACACUAGGGCUCACCACUGAACUUGAGCAACCUCAUGGGACUGCUCACCCACACGUGGCGACCUGAGGCCAGAGAGACCACGGCACAGCCAAGCGGGCACAGGGCAGGGUCCCAGGGAGAGGGCCAAAGGCCGAAGGGGAGGCGUGGUCCAAGGUAUUGGUUGACCCCAUUGGCUGAAUCAAGCCCACCUGGUGGGGGCCUGAAUUGUAGCAUGCCCACUGAAAGGGUCCUUAUAGGUGUUUAAUGCUUGCCUGAUUUCUUCCCAACCUCCUGUAGGGGCCCUUUAGGGCUGGAGAGCAGCAACCCUGCCCUGUUCUGCUACCUAACAGUAGCUCGCUUCUCUGAGGAUGACAGCCUUGGAAAGCCGAUUCUGCUGCUUCCUAGAGGGCCCCUCUGAGUUGGCAUUAACUGACGGCAGGUUUUGGUUGCUACACAGACCCGUGGCCGCAUUACCCCUUGGAGAGUAGGGUUUACAUUACCAUGUGGAGUGGCAGUGGCCUGAGCCCUGGGCAAGGCAAGGUGACUCCAGAGUGAGGAGUUGAGUGGAUGGACAACAAAGCCCUGGCCCUCAGAACACUUUGCUGUAGCUCCUCUGCUGGUGUGUCACUGCGCUAAAGCUGUCUGCCUUUCCCCUUCCAGGAAGGGUUUGACGCCCUGGACCCCUUUGCCCCCAUCCUGGUCUCCAACUACAACCCCAAAGAAUGGGAAGGCUGUAUUCACUAUUAUAUGGAGAACAGUUGGCUUCAGCAUGAGAAAGCGCACACAGAGGAAGGGCUGAAGGAGCUGCUGUUUCUGAGUAAUGCGAACCCUGAGCAGCUGGAGCGGCUCUGUGCCUACCGCUAGGCCAAGGUCACAGCACACCGCCCGGGACCCUGGCAGAUGAGGAAGCCCCAGGGAGCGCAGGACGGCGGCUCCUGGCCAUCAUUGGAAUGGGCUCCUUCGGACCCAGCUGUCUCCACAAUCAGGCAGCCUCGUUCCUGAGACACACUCGUUUACUAGAUGUGGCUUUCUGACAUGCCCAUGGCUGUAUUCCUCUAAUAAAGGUAAAUGUCUUUUGUAAA